UUGCCAGCCCGCUCAGAACUCAAAGGAAUUGACGGGGCCCGCACAAGCGGAGGAGCAUGUGGUUAAUUCGAUGAUACGCGAGGAACCUUACCUGGGCUCGAACGUAAGAUGACUGUAGGUGAAAGCUUACAUCUCUUCGGAGCAUUUUACGAGGUGCUGCAUGGUUGUCGUCAGCUCGUGCCGUGAGGUGUCGGGUUAAGUCCCAUAACGAGCGCAACCCCUACCUUUAGUUGCCAUCAGGUAAUGCUGGGGACUCUAAAGGAACUGCCUACGCAAGUAGUGAGGAAGGCGGGGAUGACGUCAAAUCAGCACGGCCCUUACGUCCAGGGCUACACACGUGCUACAAUGGCCGAUACAGAGGGCAGCUACCUGGUGACAGGAUGCAAAUCUCCAAAGUCGGUCUCAGUUCGGAUCGGAGUCUGCAACCCGACUCCGUGAAGUUGGAUUCGCUAGUAAUCGCGCAUCAGCCAUGGCGCGGUGAAUACGUUCCCGGGCCUU
rnacentral:rRNA from 1 species